rnacentral:tRNA from 1 species
GGCCUCGUAGCUCAGCUGGUAGAGCAUGCGCGUACAAAGCGUAGGCGGUGUCCAUGCGUGGGUUCGAAUCCAACCGAGGCUU